CUGGGAAUCGAGCCCAUUAUCCUGAUGUUGCAAUGUUGUACUUACUUACUUUCCUUCCUUCCUUCCUUCCUUCCUUCCUUCCUUCCUUCCUUCCUUCCUUCCUUCCUUCCUUCCUUCCUUCCUUCCUUCCUUUCAUUGUUAACACAGAAGGACAAAGGACAAGGUCAGGGUGUGUUAACACAGGAGGACAAAGGACAAGGUCAGGGUGUGUUAACACAGAAGGACAAAGGACAAGGUCAGGGUGUGUUAACACAGGAGGACAAAGGACAAGUUCUGGGCGUGUUAACACAGGAGGACAAAGGACAAGGUCAGGGUGUGUUAACACAGAAGGACAAAGGACAAGGUCAGGGCGUGUUAACACAGGAGGACAAAGGAUUGGGUGAUAACAGAGGUUAAACCUUCAUAUGAUGUGAGGUAAAGGUAGACCAAAGUGGAAACAGACUUAAACAGAACACCGGGUCAGCUCCAUCAUGUACAUUACGUGCCUCGUCAAAAGGAAUUCUUUCAGAAUAAUUGGGUUUUCCUCCAACAAUAAGCCAUUGUAACAAAACAAGGUCGGCCCAGAUCCUGUGGAUGAUGUAAGGAAUCAUGCUCUGUAAGGACGAGGUGAGAUACACAGAACAUAACAAGUCUCUCCCUGCCACGUCUAUUUGGUAAUGUUUGUGCUGAAUCCUAUCGCAGUUCUAUAUCCUCUGGUUUAUGUUCCUCUGAUCACCCGGUGUAAGCAGGUUCCGGAAAAGACGAUAGGAUCUACCACACAAUGGUACAGGGUUCAGCCAGAAGCGUAAUUCCCUCCCUCCCUCCCUCCUAUAAAACCCCAGUCAUCUCCAUCCAUUUCCCCUCUUCCUUCCUCGAUGGCUGCUGUUUCUCACUCCGACCCGUUUGGCCCAAUCACAACCAGGAAGCACUUAGCGCUAUCCAAACAGAUGGGACUCGGACUUCAAACAGCAGAGAGCCGUUUGUUAAUACCAGGGUAUUUCCUCACAGCUGUUUCACUGGGAGUUUCUCCAUAGUUUAUAGAACAUAGGGAAAGUAACAGCUUUAAACUCUGGUUACACUUUGACUUGUCUUUAGAUGAAGCAGUAGACAAAGUGUUGUUGGACAAUUUUCUCAGAUUAAAAUCACAAAUAGGGUUUUAUAUUCUCAGAUUCUUGACAGCAAUGAAGAGAGUUAAGGUCUUUCUAUAUUUUGUUUUCAACAUACUUCAUGAAAUACUCACUUCUACUGUAUUUUUUUUAUUUUACCUCUGAGUUAUUGGCCAUGAAAUACUCACUUCUACUGUAUUUUUUUUAUUUUACCUCUGAGUUAUUGGCCAUGAAAUACUCACUUCUACUGUAUUUUUUUUAUUUUACCUCUGAGUUAUUGGCCAUGAAAUCUCCAAGCUGACCUCUGAGAGGUAAAGACAGGGUUCAAUCUCCAUAUCAUUUGAUGACAGUUAUACAUGCUCUCUCACCUCUCGCAGCCAUGAUAGAGGGACCAGAGAGAGCGUUUGAAGGGAAUAUUGGGCGUAUCCCAAAUUGUCUCCUACAAGCUAUGAACUUGUGGAGAUCUGAGACGAUUUGAUUGGUAUAAGCAAAAUGGUGAAACUUCCACCUAGCCUAUCAAAGGGCAAAGUGGAGCUACCACCAGAUUGAUUACACCUGUCAAAUCCUCUCAGAGGAUGAGGUGCAGGGCUUAGGAGACGAUAUGUUGUUGGCCCAAAAUUAACUCUCGCAUCACCGUCUUACUCAAUGGGCUGGGAAUGUGUUGGGAAAAAGGUCAUACUGACCACAGUGUGGACCGUAAACAGUAGGUGAUGUUUGGAAUGAUGUGUUAUGAGUUAUUCUGGGAUUACAGUUCCUUGCAAAAGUAUUCAUCCCC
ensembl:lncRNA